GACGAACGCUGGCGGCGUGCUUAACACAUGCGAGUCGAACGGAAAGGCCCUGCUUUUGUGGGGUGCUCGAGUGGCGAACGGGUGAGUAACACGUGAGUAACCUGCCCUUGACUUUGGGAUAACUUCAGGAAACUGGGGCUAAUACCGGAUAGGAGCUCCUGCUGCAUGGUGGGGGUUGGAAAGUUUCGGCGGUUGGGGAUGGACUCGCGGCUUAUCAGCUUGUUGGUGGGGUAGUGGCUUACCAAGGCUUUGACGGGUAGCCGGCCUGAGAGGGUGACCAGCCACAUUGGGACUGAGAUACGGCCCAGACUCCUACGGGAGGCAGCAGUGGGGAAUAUUGCACAAUGGGCGGAAGCCUGAUGCAGCAACGCCGCGUGCGGGAUGACGGCCUUCGGGUUGUAAACCGCUUUCGCCUGUGACGAAGCGUGAGUGACGGUAAUGGGUAAAGAAGCACCGGCUAACUACGUG
rnacentral:rRNA from 1 species